UUCGGGAUGCCGGCGAGUGGCGAACGGGUGAGUAACACGUGGAGACCUGCCCUGGGGUGGGGGAUAACAGCUGGAAAUGGCUGCUAAUACCGCAUACGCCUUACGAGGGAAAGAUUUAUUGCCCCAGGAGGGUUCCGCGUCGGAUUAGCUUGUUGGUGGGGUAACGGCCUACCAAGGCGACGAUCCGUAGCUGGUCUUAGAGGAUGAUCAGCCACACUGGGACUGAGACACGGCCCAGACUCCUACGGGAGGCAGCAGUGGGGAAUACUGCGCAAUGGGGGAAACCCUGACGCAGCGAUGCCGCGUGGGUGAAUAAGGCCUUAGGGUUGUAAAGCCCUUUCAGUGGGAACGAUGAUGACGGUACCCACAGAAGAAGCCCCGGCUAACUCCGUGCCAGCAGCCGCGGUAAUACGGAGGGGGCGAGCGUUGU
rnacentral:rRNA from 1 species